UACGUAGGGGGCGAGCGUUAAUCGGAAUUACUGGGCGUAAAGCGUGCGCAGGCGGUUUGGUAAGUCAGAUGUGAAAUCCCCGGGCUUAACCUGGGAACUGCGUUUGAAACUACAAGGCUAGAGUGUAGCAGAGGGGGGUGGAAUUCCACGUGUAGCAGUGAAAUGCGUAGAGAUGUGGAGGAACACCGAUGGCGAAGGCAGCCCCCUGGGUUAACACUGACGCUCAGGCACGAAAGCGUGGGGAGCAAACAGG
rnacentral:rRNA from 1 species